AAAUGAAUUGACGGGAGCCCGCACAAGCAGUGGAGUAUGUGGUUCAAUUCGACGCAACGCGAAGAACCUUACCAGGGCUUGACAUCCACGGAAGGCCGAGUAAAUUUGGCUGUGCCCCUUUGGGGAACCGUGAGACAGGUGGUGCAUGGUUGUCGUCAGCUCGUGUCGUGAGAUGUUGGGUUAAGUCCCGCAACGAGCGCAACCCUUACGGUUAGUUGCUACGCAAGAGCACUCUAACAGGACUGCCGUUGACAAAACGGAGGAAGGUGGGGACGACGUCAAAUCAUCAUGCCCCUUACGCUCUGGGCUACACACGUACUACAAUGGCGUAAACAAAGGGGAGCGAAGCGGCGACGCGGAGCAAAUCCCAAAAAGACGUCCCAGUUCAGAUUGCAGGCUGCAACCCGCCUGCAUGAAGUCGGAAUUGCUAGUAAUCGUAAAUCAGAAUGUUACGGUGAAUACGUUCCCGGGCUUUGUACACACCGCCCGU
rnacentral:rRNA from 1 species